UGGGCCGGCCGGGCGAUUGCAGGCACCGAAAGAUGCUUGAGGAAAGUCCGCGCUCCAUAGAGCACGAAGCCGGGUAACACCCGGGCGGGGAAACCCGCGGAUAGGGCCACAGAGAACAACCACCAGAUCCUAGUGCAGCGAGCAGGAUUAUAGCUUUGAGCUGGAGUCAGGUUCGCGGCAUCUGUCUGGUAAGGGUGAAAAGGUGGUGUAAGAGACCACCGGCGCAGGCAGCAAUGUCGGCGGCCAGGCAACCCCCGUCGGGAGCAAGGCCAAGCAGGGGCGAAACUGAUUCGUCGGUGAGGGACUGCUCGUCCCUUUUGAGCCUCGGGUAGGUCGCAAGAGCCCUGCGGUGACGCACGGGCCCAGAUAGAUGGUCGCCCAGGUGAUGACUUUCGGGAAGAAGGACAUCGUCCGUAAACCGAAGAUCGAACCGGACAGAACGCGGCUUACAGGCUGACCCAUGAU
rnacentral:RNase_P_RNA from 1 species